GAUGAACGCUGGCGGCGUGCCUAAUACAUGCAAGUCGAGCGAACAGACGAGGAGCUUGCUCCUCUGACGUUAGCGGCGGACGGGUGAGUAACACGUGGAUAACCUACCUAUAAGACUGGGAUAACUUCGGGAAACCGGAGCUAAUACCGGAUAAUAUAUUGAACCGCAUGGUUCAAUAGUGAAAGACGGUUUUGCUGUCACUUAUAGAUGGAUCCGCGCCGCAUUAGCUAGUUGGUAAGGUAACGGCUUACCAAGGCAACGAUGCGUAGCCGACCUGAGAGGGUGAUCGGCCACACUGGAACUGAGACACGGUCCAGACUCCUACGGGAGGCAGCAGUAGGGAAUCUUCCGCAAUGGGCGAAAGCCUGACGGAGCAACGCCGCGUGAGUGAUGAAGGUCUUCGGAUCGUAAAACUCUGUUAUUAGGGAAGAACAAAUGUGUAAGUAACUAUGCACGUCUUGACGGUACCUAAUCAGAAGGCCACGGCUAGCUACGUG
rnacentral:rRNA from 1 species